rnacentral:rRNA from 1 species
CAGCCGCCACGGGAAAACGAAGGGGGCUAGCGUUGCUCGGAAUGACUGGGCGUAAAGGGCGCGUAGGCGGUUCGUACAGUUGGAUGUGAAAUUCCUGGGCUUAACCUGGGGGCUGCAUUCAAUACGUGCGGGCUUGAGUGUGGAAGAGGGUUGUGGAAUUCCCAGUGUAGAGGUGAAAUUCGUAGAUAUUGGGAAGAACACCGGUGGCGAAGGCGGCAACCUGGUCCAUAACUGACGCUGAGGCGCGAAAGCGUGGGGAGCAAACAGGAUUAGAUACCCCGGUAGUCCCUGUCUCUUAUAC